rnacentral:rRNA from 1 species
UACGUAGGGUCCAAGCGUUGUCCGGAUUUAUUGGGCGUAAAGAGCUCGUAGGCGGCUCAGUAAGUCGGAUGUGAAAACUCGGGGCUCAACCCCGAGACGCCAUCCGAUACUGCUGUGGCUUGAGUCUGGUAGGGGAACACGGAAUUCCUGGUGUAGCGGUGAAAUGCGCAGAUAUCGAGAGGAACACCAGUGGCGAAGGCGAGUCCCUGGACAACACCUGACACUGAGGCACGAAAGCUAGGGGAGCAAACAGG